rnacentral:rRNA from 1 species
GAUGAACGCUGGCGGCGUGCCUAAUACAUGCAAGUCGAGCGAACAGACGAGGAGCUUGCUCCUCUGACGUUAGCGGCGGACGGGCGAGUAACGCGUGGAUAACCUACCUAUAAGACUGGGAUAACUUCGGGAAACCGGAGCUAAUACCGGAUAAUAUAUUGAACCGCAUGGUUCAAUAGUGAAAGACGGUUUUGCUGUCACUUAUAGAUGGAUCCGCGCCGCAUUAGCUAGUUGGUAAGGUAACGGCUUACCAAGGCGACGAUGCGUAGCCGACCUGAGAGGGUGAUCGGCCACACUGGAACUGAGACACGGUCCAGACUCCUACGGGAGGCAGCAGUAGGGAAUCUUCCGCAAUGGGCGAAAGCCUGACGGAGCAACGCCGCGUGAGUGAUGAAGGUCUUCGGAUCGUAAAACUCUGUUAUUAGGGAAGAACAAAUGUGUAAGUAACUAUGCACGUCUUGACGGUACCUAAUCAGAAAGCCACGGCUAACUACGUG